ACGAACGCUGGCGGCAGGCUUAACACAUGCAAGUCGAGCGCAAUACUAUCUUCGGAUAGUGGAGAGCGGCGGACGGGUGAGUAACGCGUGGGAACCUACCCUUUGGUUCGGAAUAACUUUGGGAAACCGAAGCUAAUACCGGAUAAGCCCCGUAAGGGGGAAAGAUUUAUUGCCGAAGGAGGGGCCCGCGUUGGAUUAGGUAGUUGGUAGGGUAAUGGCCUACCAAGCCGACGAUCCAUAGCUGUUCUGAGAGGAAGAUCAGCCACACUGGGACUGAGACACGGCCCAGACUCCUACGGGAGGCAGCAGUGGGGAAUCUUGGACAAUGGGGGAAACCCUGAUCCAGCCAUGCCGCGUGAAUGAAGAAGGCCUUAGGGUUGUAAAGUUCUUUCAGUGGGGAAGAUAAUGACGGUACCCACAGAAGAAGCCCCGGCUAACUCCGU
rnacentral:rRNA from 1 species